UACGAAGGGGGCUAGCGUUGUUCGGAAUUACUGGGCGUAAAGCGCACGUAGGCGGAUACUUAAGUCAGGGGGUGAAAUCCCCGGGGCUCAACCCCCGGAACUGCCUUUGAUACUGGGUAUCUCGAGUCCGGAAGAGGUGAGUGGAAUUCCGAGUGUAGAGGUGAAAUUCGUAGAUAUUCGGAGGAACACCAGUGGCGAAGGCGGCUCACUGGUCCAUUACUGACGCUGAGGUGCGAGAGCGUGGGGAGCAAACAGG
rnacentral:rRNA from 1 species